CUCUAGGAGACGCCAGAACUCAGAGGAAGCAGCAUGGGCAGUACAGAGUAAAGAUGGUGUUUCAAGCUGGCAGGCAGUGGCCACCCUUCAGUUUUGCUCAGUACAAUGAAGAUGACCGCAGGAUCUCACAGUGCCCGGCACACUUCGUAAUAAUGAGCUCAUGACAUCGUUUGUGGACGACACAAGUGCAAACUGCAAACGAUAAAGACAUGGGAAGCCCGAGUGAGGAAGCAAGAUUGCACCCGAGAUUUAAUCAGGUCUUGGUGGAGACAAUGUCCUAAUCUAAUCUAACCCUCUCGUCAAGCCUAUAAUACAGUGUUUCAAAACACUCCCCAACAGGACCACGGGGCUUCCUAAAUGCCCCAAAGAAGGAAUGGAAGUGAUGUUCAAAGGGUGCUGGGAGCUUUGAGAAGGCUGCUCAGCUUUCCAGCUGUUAUCCGCCAAGGUCAGGGACCACCCUUCUGCCCAGCUCUCCACGAAGCCCUCUCUAUUAAAGGUUCUGUACUGCCCCCCAUUUUCCACUCA